rnacentral:lncRNA from 1 species
CGGAAAAACACAUAAACGGGACUCUAACAAGACCUAACCAGCAACAAGACCUCGACCAGGACACAAACUCAACACUGCGAACUCUGAAACUGAAAUAUGCAAAGGCUAUGGCGCGGAAGGGUUGUAGGACACGAAAACGAUAUGGCACUGGACUUAUGGGACGAACACAAGAACACCCAAAACUAAGGGUAGAUGUGAACAUAACGGUAUACCUCAAGCUUUGAUUACCACUUGAUGAGAACAAGGGUGGUCCGAUCUUCCGAAAGGUUCUGGUAACUCUCGAUUUGGUGGAGACGAGGCACAAAUCGAUCCGGCUUCCGAACAACAUGAUCUGAAACCAUGCAAGUUUUUUUUAUUUUUUUUUUGAUAUUUUUAUUUUACUUAGGAGCACUAAAUAAGUAACCACAGAAAAUUUGAGCUUAAACAAGUGAAAGACGUGGCCUGCGGAAUUCUCUGAAGAUUGCAAAAAAUGUGAAAAAAACUUCACGAGGUGAAAACUCAAACUUCUGUGGUGAAUUUGGAGAUUAUAAAAUUGUCAAGCAACCCAAAGGCAGGGACAGACAGAUCCAAAAAAAUUUUCUCAUCGAUUUUGAUAUAUGGAACGUUGUAAUCGGAGUUCAUAUGCGAAUGUUAUGGCUGUUUUACGAACGGACUCCGAAUUAUAGGACAAAACGGUCUGAAAGUGGAAAAAAUUUGCGGCGGUGGCUAGAAAUUGAUGGAAACAGUGGGGAAAAACACAUGAACUAGACUCUAACAAGACCUAACCAGCAACAAGACCUCGACCAGGACACAAACUCAACACUGCGGACUGUGAAACUGAAAUAUGCAAAGGCUAUAGUGUGGAAGGUUUAUAGGACAGGAAAACGAUAUGGCACUGGACUUAUGGGACGAACACAAGAGCACUCGAAACUAAGUCUAGAUGUGAACCUAACGGUAUACCUGAAGCUUUGAUUACCACUUGAUGAGAACAAGGGUGGCCCGAUCUUCUGAAAGGAUCUGGUAACUCUCGAUUUGGUGGAGACGAGACACAAAUCGAUCCGGCUUCCGAACAACACGAUCUGAAACCCUGCAAUUUUUUUUUAUUUUUUUUGAUAUUUUUCAUUUACUUAGGAGCACUAAACAAGUAACCAUAGAAAAUUUGAGCUUUAACAAGUGAAAGACGUGGCCUGAGGAAUUUUCGGAAAAUUGCGAAAAAUGUGAAAAAAACUUCACAAGGUGAAAACUCAAACAUUGGAGGGGAAUUUGGAGACUCUAAAAUUUUCAAACCCACCAAAUGCAGGGACAUACAGAUCAAAAAAAAAAUUUUGAUCGAUUUUGAUAUAUGGAACGUUGAAAUCAGAGUUCGUAUGCGAAAGUUAUGGCUGUUUUACGAACGGACUCCGAAUUAGAGGACAAAACGGUUCGAAAGUGGAAAAAUUUUGUGGCGGUGACUAGAAAUUGUUGGAAACGGUGGGGAAAAACACAUGAACUGGACUCUAACAAGACCUAACUAGCAACACGACCUCGACCAGGACACAAACUCAACACUGCGGACUCUAAAACUGAAAUAUGCAAAUGCUAUGGCGCGGAAGGGUUGUGGGACACGAAAACAACAUGGCACUGGACUUUUUUUAUGGGACGAACACAAGAACACUCAAAACUAAGGGUAGAUGUGAACAUAACGGUAUACCUGAAGCUUUGAUUACCACUUGAUGAUUACAAGGGUGGCCCGGUCUUCCGAAAAGUUCUGGUAACUCUCGAUUUGGUGGAGAUGAGGCACAAAUCGAUUCGGCUUCCGAACAACACGAUCUGAAACCCUACAAGUUUUUUUUAUUUUUUUGAUAUAUUUAUUUUACUUAGGAGCACUAAAGAAGUAACCAUAGAAAAUUUGAGCUUAAACAAGUGAAAGACGUGGCCUGCGGAAUUCUCUGAAGAUUGUGAAAAAUGUGAAAAAAACUUCACAAGGUGAAAACUCAAACAUCAGAGGCGAAUUUGGAGAUUAUAAACUUUUCAAACCCACUGUUGGUGGGUACAGAUAGAUCCAAAAAAAUUUUAUGAUCGAUUUUGAUAUAUGGAACGUUGAAAUCGGAGUUCAUAUGCGAAAGUUAUGGCUGUUUUACGAACGGACUACGAAUUAGAGGACAAAACGGUCCGAAAGUGGGAAAAAUUUGCGGCGGUGGCUAGAAAUUGAUGGAAACGGUGGAGAAAAACACAUGAACUGGACUCUAACAAGACCUAACCAGCAACAAGACCUCGACCAGGACACAAACUCAACACUGCGGACUCUGAAACUGAAAUAUGCAGAGGCUAUGGCGCGGAAGGGUUGUAGGACAGGAAAACGAUGUGGCACUGGACUUAUGGGACGAACACAAGAACACCCGAAACUAAGGGUAGAUAUGAACCUAACGGUAUACCUCAAGCUUUGAUUACCACUUGAUGAGAACAAGGGUGGUCAGAUCUUCCAAAAUGUUCUGGUAACUCUCGAUUUGGUGGAGACGAGGCACAAAUCGAUCCGGCUUCCGAACAACACGAUCUGAAACCAUGCAAGUUUUUUUUUAUUUUUUUGAUAUUUUUCUUUUAUUUAGGAGCACUAAAGAAGUAACCACAGAAAUUUGAGCUUAAACAAGUGAUAGACGUGGCCUGCGGAAUUCUCUGAAGAUUGCGAAAAAUGUGAAAAAAACUUCACGAGGUGAAAACUCAAACUUCGGUGGUGAAUUUGGAGAUUAUAAAAUUGUCAAACCCCCCAAAGGCGGGGACAGACAGAUCCAAAAAAAUUUUCUCAUCGAUUUUGAUAAAUGGAACGUUGUAAUCGGAGUUCAUAUUCGAAAGUUAUGUUGUUUUACGAACGGACUCCGAAUUAGAGGACAAAACGGUCCGAAAGUGGGAAAAAUUUGCAGCGGUGGCUAGAAAUUGAUGGAAACGGUGCGGAAAAACACAUAAACGGGACUCUAACAAGACCUAACCAGCAACAAGACCUCGACCAGGACACAAACUCAACACUGCGAACUCUGAAACUGAAAUAUGCAAAGGCUAUGGCGCGGAAGGGUUGUAGGACACGAAAACGAUAUGGCACUGGACUUAUGGGACGAACACAAGAACACCCAAAACUAAGGGUAGAUGUGAACAUAACGGUAUACCUCAAGCUUUGAUUACCACUUGAUGAGAACAAGGGUGGUCGGAUCUUCCGAAAGGUUCUGGUAACUCUCGAUUUGGUGGAGACGAGGCACAAAUCGAUCCGGCUUCCGAACAACAUGAUCUGAAACCAUGCAAGUUUUUUUUAUUUUUUUUGAUAUUUUUCUUUUACUUAGGAGCACUAAAUAAGUAACCACAGAAAAUUUGAGCUUAAACAAGUGAAAGACGUGGCCUGCGGAAUUCUCUGAAGAUUGCAAAAAAUGUGAAAAAAACUUCACGAGGUGAAAACUCAAACUUCUGUGGUGAAUUUGGAGAUUAUAAAAUUGUCAAACAACCCAAAGGCAGGGACAGACAGAUCCAAAAAAAUUUUCUGAUCGAUUUUGAUAUAUGGAACGUUGUAAUCGGAGUUCAUAUGCGAAUGUUAUGGCUGUUUUACGAACGGACUCCGAAUUAGAGGACAAAACGGUCUGAAAGUGGAAAAAAUUUGCGGCGGUGGCUAGAAAUUGAUGGAAACAGUGGGGAAAAACACAUGAACUAGACUCUAACAAGACCUAACCAGCAACAAGACCUCGACCAGGACACAAACUAAACACUGCGGACUCUAAAACUGAAAUAUGCAGAGGCUAUGGCGCGGAAGGGUUGUAGGACAGGAAAACGAUAUGGCACUGGACUUAUGGGACGAACACAAGAACUUCCGAACGUAAGGAUAGAUGUGAACCUAAUGGUGUACCUCAAGCUUUGAUUACCACUUGAUGAGAACAAGGGUGGUCCGAUCUUCCGAAAGGUUCUGGUAACUCUCGAUUUGCUGGAGACGAGGCACAAAUCGAUCCGGCUUCCGAACAACACGAUCUGAAACCAUGCAAGUUUUUUUUAUUUUUUUAAUAUUUUUGUUUGACUUAGGAGCACUAAAGAAGUAACCCCAGAAAAUUUGAGCUUAAACAAGUGAAAGACGUGGCCUGCGGAAUUCUCUGA